rnacentral:rRNA from 1 species
UACGUAGGAUGCAAGCGUUGUCCGGAUUUAUUGGGGUUAAAGGGUGCGUAGGCGGCCUAUUGAGUUAGUGGUGAAAACGUUCGGCUUAACCGGAUACCCGCCAUUGAUACUGAUAGACUUGAGUGCGACAGAGGGUGUUGGAAUGUGUGGUGUAGCGGUGAAAUGCUUAGAUAUCACGCAGUUCACCAAUUGCGAAGGCAGAUGCCUAUGUCGUAACUGACGCUGAGGCACGAAAGCGUGGGGAGCAAACAGG